ensembl:lncRNA
GUUUGGAUAAGACUGACAGAAAUGAUGGCAGGGGCCGUCGAUGAGUUUUUACCUACUUUUGCUGAACUUUUUUUCCAGGUGUCUUCAUAACAGCAGCCACUUUCAGCUGCAUCACAUGGACAUGUGAGUUGUUAUGAGAACUGUCAGGAUAGUUUAGAAAGACCUGCUUUUCAGUGGCAAAAUAAUUCGGACAAAAAGAAAAUUCACUAGAAGUGAGUGAUGAUCCAUAUUUAAGAUGGAACUGACAGUGAGUCUAGUUUUGCAGAUGACUGAAGAAAGCCAUGUACUUUUAAGAAUUGCUGCCUCAUGUCCAAAAGAUGUCACUGCACUAUUCCUUAAUCAUUUAAUGUUGUAAUAUUGUGGCUUUACAGAAAAGCAAUUCAAACCAAAGUACAGUGUAUUGUUUUGUUGUUUUUUUUUAAACAAAGUACAAAGCAAUUAUGUUUCAUUUGGAAACAUUUCAAAAUGUUUGAGUUUAAUUAAACAUUUUAUUUUGCAUGUACUGUAUGUGCAAGCUUAAAGGGUCUAUUCAUACAAAGCGCACCAAAAUAUUCUAUCACUUUCCAUUACUUUUGUGCUGCCAUUGGUUUUAUCUGUUUUAUUAUCUUUACUACUAUCUAGACUUCUGCUCUCACCUACAAGCAAUGAAGGUGAAUGCAGUUUUGCUUGUGGUUCUGACCACGUGUCUUCCAGAAACCGUGGUUGCGGUCGAAUGAUUAGAAAAAAAGUUCUCCUGUCUUUUUCUGAAAUGCUUUUCCUUGAUCUUGAUGGAAAAAGUCAUGAAGUCAAGAAAAGCAGGAGAAUUCGCACGGACUUGGGAAAUACAACCAUGGUGCUGCGAGGAUUGGAUCGGACUUAAUUUUGCAACGCCGGAUGUUUUUGACUGGGAUCUGCUGUGGUGAGAAUACAAUGUUCUGAAGAUGGACUAUUUAAAGCACAUUUUCGAUACUGCGGGUCAUGUGUUCGUAUCUUUCAUGAAGAUACAACAAUCCAAUGACAAAUAUUACGUCAUUCCCAAGGAUGGACUUAAAAUCACAGAAGGAAUUUAAAUCUCAAGUGAUCUAAAAUGGUUGUGACGUUGACAGUGGUUGCUUACACUCACCCUUCUGUCCACAUAUAUUUAUCACCAUGAAUUCCAGUAAUUAAGUGUGAUUGUAUGAAAACGAUUUAUGCAAGACAUAAUUGGUAAUGACUACAAAUCAGCUGCUGUACAUAUCAGACUUACAUUGCAAUCGUAGUGAAUUAUCUGAAUAAAAGUGACCCACAUCUGUUUUCCUUGAAAGACAGACUCCUUUGUCAUGGUUAAUCAAAGAUAUAUAACAGAUUCUGAUCUGAUUGUAAACCUAUGCACAUAAAGGAUUCAAAAUCACCUCACAACUUGGUGAAGACCUGGAAUGGUCUGUCGCUGCAAGGAAUUAUGGGGCAGAAUUAUCUCUGUUGUGAAGGAUGGUCUAAUAUGUUCUACACUAAAGGAGACUUCAAACAGUAAAAGCACCUUUACUUAUAAUUUAGAAAAUUCACCCAGCUCCUAUCACGGCUGCCAUUUCUGGGUUAUUUCACUCAGUUAAAACCCUCCUAAGAAAAAAAAAAGACUUCAACUGCAACCAGUGUCCUAGUUCCUCAGGAUCAUCCAUAGACCUCACUGUUUUUCUGCAGUUUCUCGGUGACAACUCUGAGAUUGUUUGCAUGGCUCGAUGUACCCAGAGAUAAGUGGACAAAUAUUAAUGUUUUGUGAUGUGAGUGAAGCAACCCUUCAAACCACGCUGUUAAUUAAUGCAUAGCCUUGUUUAAAAUAAGUAUAAGACUGUUUCCCUCAUCGAGUCUCCAGAAGGAAUUUUGUAAAAAAAUUACCUGUUGAAAAUGCUGUCGCCCUGUAAUUCAGUAUGUGAGUUAUGUAAGAAACAUUAAAGUGUAAAA